CUUUCCAUUUUUCAUCCUAGGAAAAAAGUUUCAUGAUUAAUACCCAGGGCACUUAUCAUGGAAUACCACCAAUCAUAAAGUCGGAAUGGAUCAAUCAAUGGACACUAAUCAUAAAGUCGGAAUGGAUUCCGAUCGGAAUUCCGUUUUCCCCAAAAAACACAAUAGAAAUCUAGGGAAUAAUUAAUAAUUAAUACUAACCAACUACAGUCGAGCAUUCCUCUGUCGUUCGCCUAUAACAGGGGAAUACUCGACUAGUUAUCAACAUCUUAAAAAGUUUUAUAAACAGAGGAAAGAACAAGUUAGAAUUGCUUACUAAUCAAAAUGUGAUCUAUAAGAUCUCAUGUGAUGAUUGCGAGGCUAGCUAUGUUGGCCAAACCAAAAAAAAAUUGAGUACGAGGAUACGUGAACAUAUUUCAGAUAUCAACAAAAAAAACAAGUUCUCCAUCGGUCAUUUCUGAUUACCGUAUAAAUCUCAAUCAUAAUUUCAGAUGGAAUGAAGUGAAGAUAUUAAACAGUGAAUCUUCAUAUAAUAAGAGAUUGAUAUAUGAAAUGGUACACAUAAAAGAAGGAUCAGACUCAUAUUUGCGUUCUCCGUUCACUUUUCAAAGGACAUUCAUUUGUUUACUAAAAUUGACAUUAUAAGCAUUUUAAUGACUAACCAUCCAAUUAAAAAACGUAAAGUAGAAAUUAUUCUUA